ACCCGCUGAACUUAAGCAAAUCAAUAAGCGGAGGAAAAGAAACCAACAGGGAUUGCCCUAGUAACGGCGAGUGAAGCGGCAACAGCUCAAAUUUGAAAUCUGGCUCUUUUAGAGUCCGAGUUGUAAUUUGCAGAGGGCGCUUUGGCUUUGGCAGCGGUCCAAGUUCCUUGGAACAGGACGUCACAGAGGGUGAGAAUCCCGUACGUGGUCGCUGGCUAUUGCCGUGUAAAGCCCCUUCGACGAGUCGAGUUGUUUGGGAAUGCAGCUCUAAAUGGGAGGUACAUUUCUUCUAAAGCUAAAUAUUGGCCAGAGACCGAUAGCGCACAAGUAGAGUGAUCGAAAGAUGAAAAGCACUUUGGAAAGAGAGUCAAACAGCACGUGAAAUUGUUGAAAGGGAAGCGCUUGCAGCCAGACUUGCUUACAGUUGCUCAUCCGGGCUUUUGCCCGGUGCACUCUUCUGUAGGCAGGCCAGCAUCAGUUUGGGCGGUAGGAUAAAGGUCUCUGUCACGUACCUCUCUUCGGGGAGGCCUUAUAGGGGAGACGACAUACUACCAGCCUGGACUGAGGUCCGCGCAUCUGCUAGGAUGCUGGCGUAAUGGCUGU
rnacentral:rRNA from 1 species